rnacentral:rRNA from 1 species
UAACAAGGAUUCCCCUAGUAACUGCGAGUGAAGCGGGAAAAGCUCAAAUUUAAAAUCUGGUAGCCUUCGGUUGCCCGAGUUGUAGUCUGGAGAAGCGUCUUCCGCGCUGGACCGUGUACAAGUCUCUUGGAACAGAGCGUCAUAGAGGGUGAGAAUCCCGUCUUUGACACGGACUACCAGUGCUUUGUGAUGCGCUCUCAAAGAGUCGAGUUGUUUGGGAAUGCAGCUCAAAAUGGGUGGUAAAUUCCAUCUAAAGCUAAAUAUUGGCGAGAGACCGAUAGCGAACAAGUACCGUGAGGGAAAGAUGAAAAGCACUUUGGAAAGAGAGUUAAACAGUACGUGAAAUUGCUGAAAGGGAAACGCUUGAAGUCAGUCGCGUCGUCCAGAACUCAACCUGGCUUUUGCUUGGUGCACUUUCUGGUUGACGGGCCAACAUCAGUUUUGACUGUCGAAAAAAGUCCUUAGGAAUGUGGCACCCUCGGGUGUGUUAUAGCCUUUGGUCGUACGCGAUGGUUGGGACUGAGGACCGCAGCACGCCUUAUGGCCGGGGUUCGCCCACGUACGUGCUUAGGAUGUUG